GACGAACGCUGUUGGCGUGCCUAACACAUGCAAGUCGAGCGAAGUGAGUACUACGGUACGAACUUAGCGGCGGACGGGUGAGUAACGCGUGGACAAUCUACCCUGUAGACUAGGAUAACACCUCGAAAGGGGUGCUAAUACCGGAUAAUGUCGAGAAGCGGCAUCGCUUUUCGAAGAAAGGAGAGAAUCCGCUAUAGGAGGAGUCCGCGUCCCCUUAGCUAGUUGGUGAGGGUAACGGCCCACCAAGGCGACGAUGGGUAGCCGGCCUGAGGGGGUGAACGGCCACACUGGAACUGCGACACGGUCCACACUCCGACGGGAGGCAGCAGUGGGGAAUAUUGUGCAAUGGGGGAAGCCCUGACACAGCAACGCCGCGUGAGCGAAGAAGGCCUUCGGGUUGUAAAGCUCAAUAGUAUGGGAAGAUAAUGACGGUACCAUACGAAAGCCCCGGCUAACUACGUGCCAGCCGCCGCCGUAAUAC
rnacentral:rRNA from 1 species